AUGCCGCGUGUGUGAUGAAGGUCUUAGGAUCGUAAAGCACUUUCGCCAGGGAUGAUAAUGACAGUACCUGGUAAAGAAACCCCGGCUAACUCCGUGCCAGCAGCCGCGGUAAUACGGAGGGGGUUAGCGUUGUUCGGAAUUACUGGGCGUAAAGCGUACGUAGGCGGAUUGGAAAGUUGGGGGUGAAAUCCCAGGGCUCAACCCUGGAACUGCCUCCAAAACUCUCAGUCUAGAGUUCGAGAGAGGUGAGUGGAAUUCCAAGUGUAGAGGUGAAAUUCGUAUAUAUUUGGAGGAACACCAGUGGCGAAGGCGGCUCACUGGCUCGAUACUGACGCUGAGGUACGAAAGUGUGGGGAGCAAACAGGAUUAGAUACCCUGGUAGUCCACACCGUAAAC
rnacentral:rRNA from 1 species